CCGCCGGCGUACAAGCCAGCCCCCAAGGUCUCACCGCCGGCGUACAAGCCCGCCCCCAAGGUCUCACCUCCGGCGUACAAGCCUGUCCCCAAGCCAUCACCGCCGCCGUCGCCAACUCCGCCGGCGCCGAAGCCGACUCCACCGCCCUACAAGCCCCCGACGCCUACUCCUCCGGCGUACAAGCCUCCCACCCCGAGCCCCCCGCCUCCGCCGUACCACCACUAAGAAGAUCCACCACUGUCAAGCUGGGAGCCUAGGAUGCGGUCGAGAAGAGUUGUGCGAGCAGGCCAAGAAGAGCCACGUACGUACGGCGUCGUUGAUCCUCCUGCGGUGUGUGAGUUGCUGCCGAGCUACUAGGGCCGAUCUCUGAGGAGAUGGAAUAAUGCAGAUGGCUCCCAUUAGUUAUCUUACCAGCUUAUCAUUUGUGUUCGUCCAGUGUUAGCGUCUGUGUUGCUAGUGUCGCAAUGUUGCCAGUGUCACUGUAAAACCAUUAAUCACCACGGAAAUGGAAGUAAAAGGUGUUGUUUCCCGUUGCAUGUAA